rnacentral:rRNA from 1 species
CGGUUGAUCCUGCCGGACCCUACUGCUAUCGGGGUGGGACUAAGACAUGCGAGUUGAGCGUCUCUAAGCUAUGGUAGAGACGCAGCGUACGGCUCAGUAACACGUGGCUAACCUACCCUUAGGACGGGGACAACCCCGGGAAACUGGGGCUAAUACCCGAUAGGCGAGGAGGCCUGGAAUGGUUCCUAGUCGAAAAGGCGUUGAAACCAUGCUUUUCGACGUCGCCUAAGGAUGGGGCCGCGCCCGAUCAGGUUGUUGGUGGGGUAACGGCUCACCAAGCCUAUAACCGGUACGGGCCGUGAGAGCGGGAGCCCGGAGAUGGGCACUGAGACAAGGGCCCAGGCCCUACGGGGCGCAGCAGUCGCGAAAACUCCGCAAUGCGCGAAAGCGUGACGGGGCUACCCCGAGUGCCGUCCGCUGAGGAUGGCUUUUCCCCGGUGUAAUGAGCCGGGGGAAUAAGGAGAGGGCAAGUCUGGUGUCAGCCGCCGCGGUAAUGCCAGCUCUCCGAGUGGUAGGGAUGAUUAUUGGGCUUAAAGCGUCCGUAGCCGGCUUAGCAAGUCUCCUGUUAAAUUCAGCGACCUAAUCGUUGAGCCGCGGGAGAUACUACUAGGCUAGGAGGCGGGAGAGGCCGACGGUAUUCUCGGGGUAGGGGUGAAAUCCUAUAAUCCCGGGAGGACCACCAGUGGCGAAGGCUGUCGGCUAGAACGCGCUCGACGGUGAGGGACGAAAGCUGGGGGAGCGAACCGGAUUAGAUACCCGGGUAGUCCCAGCUGUAAACGAUGCGGGCUAGGUGUUGGGGUGGCUACGAGCCACUUCAGUGCCGCAGGGAAGCCAUUAAGCCCGCCGCCUGGGGAGUACGGCCGCAAGGCUGAAACUUAAAGGAAUUGGCGGGGGAGCAC